rnacentral:rRNA from 1 species
ACGCACGCUGGCGGCGUGCUUAACACAUGCCAGUCGAACGGAAAGGCCCCUUUGGGGGUACUCGAGUGGCGAACGGGUGAGUAACACGUGAGUAACCUGCCCUUGACUUCGGGAUAACUUCAGGAAACUGGGGCUAAUACCGGAUAGGAAUCCUUGCUGCAUGGUGGGGGUUGGAAAGCUUCGGCGGUUUUGGAUGGACUCGCGGCUUAUCAGCUUGUUGGUGGGGUAGUGGCUUACCAAGGCUUUGACGGGUAGCCGGCCUGAGAGGGCGACCGGCCACAUUGGGACUGAGAUACGGCCCAGACUCCUACGGGAGGCAGCAGUGGGGAAUAUUGCACAAUGGGCGGAAGCCUGAUGCAGCAACGCCGCGUGCGGGAUGACGGCCUUCGGGUUGUAAACCGCGUUCAGCAGGGGCGAAGCUUGUGGUGACGGUACCUGCAGAAGAAGCACCGGCUAACUACGUG